rnacentral:lncRNA from 1 species
AACGUCGGUCUGAAAAUGAGAUUUUGCCCACCUCCAUUGUUACGGGCUGAAUGCCUGCAGCCGCUCUGGCUCUGCCGAGGCGAUUAGUGGCCAGUGGACGUGUUUCUAUUUGAGGAAAUCAAGGCCGCCUGCUCUGUGCUCCUCAUGGUGUAGCACCACGUAGCCUCUGCUGAACGAGCAAAAUGAGGCCAUGUUACACAUCCGAGUCCCCUCGGCUCCGGCGGCUACGUGCACGGGGACCCGAGUGUUGAUGCUUCAGAAAGCAAAGGACCCAACACCAGCAUCAGGGAGUGCAGUCAUGGCCACUGAAGCGUGCUGUGUUCAUCCCCUCAUCGUCUGGCACUUUUUCCCUCCACCGUUCUAGAGGAAACAGAAUAAAGAAGGGAAAAGCUUACAUGCUCUAGGAGCUGCUAAUCUCUCAGACUACGGCCCUGAUCAGCUCCCACCGCAGCAGGAAAUCUGGAUCCAGAGGUA